rnacentral:rRNA from 1 species
UACAGAGGUCCCGAGCGUUAGGCGGAAUCACUGGGCUUAAAGCGUGUGUAGGCGGAUGUCUAAGUACCUUGUGAAAUCCCACGGCUCAACCGUGGAACUGCUUGGUAUACUGGAUGUCUUGAGCCAGCUAGGGGCAACCGGAACAGACGGUGGAGCGGUGAAAUGCGUAGAUAUCGUCUGGAACGCCAAUGGUGAAAACAGGUUGCUGGGGCUGUGCUGACGCUGAGACACGAAAGCCAGGGGAGCAAACGGG